AGUGGGAGCCCCUUCGGGGGUGACUGCGUACCUUUUGUAUAAUGGGUCAGCGACUUACUACUUUGUGGCAAGCUUAACCGUUUAGGGGAGGCGUAGGGAAACCGAGUCUUAAUAGGGCGAAUUAGUCGCAAGGUGUAGACCCGAAACCGGGCGAUCUAUCCAUGGCCAGGGUGAAGGUGCGGUAACACGCGCUGGAGGCCCGAACCCACUUAUGUUGAAAAAUGAGGGGAUGAGCUGUGGAUCGGAGUGAAAGGCUAAUCAAGCCCGGAGAUAGCUGGUUCUCCUCGAAAGCUAUUUAGGUAGCGCCUCGCGUAUGACUCCAGGUGGUAGAGUACUGUUAUGGUUAGGGGGGAAUCCCGGCUUACCAAAUCGUUUCAAAGUACGAA
rnacentral:rRNA from 1 species